rnacentral:misc_RNA from 1 species
GAUGAAGAACGUAGCGAAAUGCGAUACUUGGUGUGAAUUGCAGAAUCCCGUGAACCAUCGAGUCUUUGAACGCAAGUUGCGCCCAAAGCCAUUAGGCCGAGGGCACGCCUGCCUGGGCGUCACACGUCGUUGCCCCCCCAUCUACUCCUUCGGGAUUGCGGGGGGCGGAUGAUGGCCUCCCGUGCGCCUCGUCGCGCGGUUGGCCUAAAUGCCAAGUCCUCGGCGACGCACGCCACGACAAUCGGUGGUUGCGAAACCUCGGUUGCCCGUCGUGUGCGGUCGUCGCGCAUCGAGGGCUCGAAAAAAUUGCCGGGCUUCGGCUCGACUUUCAACGCGACCCCAGGUCAGGCGGGGUUACCCGCUGAAUUUAAGCAUAUCAAUAAGCGGAGGA